ACCAAAUUUAAUUUAAUCUUGGUUGUAGGAUUUUGUCCCAAGGCAAAUCAUGCAUAUUCAGAGAGAUAUGGGCAUUGGACAAGUCAGAUACAGCAGCCAUGGAUUGUUACAGAUGUUGCAAAUCACCCCAAUUUGUCAUUUCUGACAUUCAGAGCUAGAACGUGACCACUUUCUUGUGUUAUAUUGUACCACCGGAGAUUGCAUGAUGGAUUGAGAUCACUGUCAUGUAGGUUAGUUUUCAAGGAU